UGACUUCCAAAGUGCAUAAAAUAAAAUUGGAAUGACAAAGAGAAGUUUGCAUGAUCCCUGCGAGAAGAUGACACGUGGAAAGAGAGAAAAUACGAUACAACAU